CAGAGGGUGCAAGCGUUGUUCGGAAUUACUGGGCGUAAAGCGCGUGUAGGUGGCGAUGUAAGUCGGGUGUGAAAUCCCUCAGCUUAACUGAGGAAGUGCACUCGAUACUGUGUCGCUUGAGUGUUGGAGGGGAUGGCGGAAUUCCCGGUGUAGAGGUGAAAUUCGUAGAUAUCGGGAGGAACACCUGUGGCGAAGGCGGCCAUCUGGACAACUACUGACACUGAGACGCGAAAGCGUGGGUAGCAAACAGGAUUAGAUACCCUGGUAGUCCACGCUGUAAACGAUGAGUGCUAGACGUCAUGGGUAUUGACCCCUGUGGUGUCGAAGUUAACACGUUAAGCACUCCGCCUGGGGAGUACGGUCGCAAGAUUA
rnacentral:rRNA from 1 species